GGAGUUAGCCGGUGCUUCUUCUGCGAGUAACGUCACAGAUGUAAGGUAUUAACUUACACCCUUUCCUCCUCGCUGAAAGUGCUUUACAACCCGAAGGCCUUCUUCACACACGCGGCAUGGCUGCAUCAGGGUUUCCCCCAUUGUGCAAUAUUCCCCACUGCUGCCUCCCGUAGGAGUCUGGGCCGUGUCUCAGUCCCAGUGUGGCUGAUCAUCCUCUCAGACCAGCUAGGGAUCGUCGCCUAGGUGAGCCUUUACCUCACCUACUAGCUAAUCCCACCUGGGCUUAUCCAUCAGCGCAAGGCCCGAAGGUCCCCUGCUUUCCCCCGUAGGGCGUAUGCGGUAUUAGCAGUCGUUUCCAACUGUUAUCCCCCACAAAUGGGCAAAUUCCCAGGCAUUACUCACCCGUCCGCCGCUCGUCAUCUUCAAAAGCAAGCUUUUGAAAUGUUACCGCUCGACUUGCAUGUGUUAGGCCUGCCGCCAGCGUUCAAUCUGAGCCAGANNAACACUGACANAGCGGCGNGCGAGACGC
rnacentral:rRNA from 1 species